UGGGGAAUUUUGGACAAUGGGCGAAAGCCUGAUCCAGCAAUGCCGCGUGUGUGAAGAAGGCCUUCGGGUUGUAAAGCACUUUUGUCCGGAAAGAAAUGGCUCUGGUUAAUACCUGGGGUCGAUGACGGUACCGGAAGAAUAAGGACCGGCUAACUACGUGCCAGCAGCCGCGGUAAUACGUAGGGUCCAAGCGUUAAUCGGAAUUACUGGGCGUAAAGCGUGCGCAGGCGGUUGUGCAAGACCGAUGUGAAAUCCCCGAGCUUAACUUGGGAAUUGCAUUGGUGACUGCACGGCUAGAGUGUGUCAGAGGGGGGUAGAAUUCCACGUGUAGCAGUGAAAUGCGUAGAGAUGUGGAGGAAUACCGAUGGCGAAGGCAGCCCCCUGGGAUAACACUGACGCUCAUGCACGAAAGCGUGGGGAGCAAACAGGAUUAGAUACCCUGGUAGUCCACGCCCUAAACGAUGUCAACUAGUUGUUGGGAUUCAUUUCCUUAGUAACGUAGCUAACGCGUGAAGUUGACCGCCUGGGGAGUACGGUCGCAAGAUUAAAAGCUUAAAGGAAUUGAC
rnacentral:rRNA from 1 species